CAGGCCUAACACAUGCAAGUCGAGCGGGCGAGGUUGCUUCGGUAACUUAGCUAGCGGCGGACGGGUGAGUAAUGCUUAGGAAUCUGCCUAUUAGUGGGGGACAACAUUCCGAAAGGGAUGCUAAUACCGCAUACGUCCUACGGGAGAAAGCAGGGGCUCUUUAUGACCUUGCGCUAAUAGAUGAGCCUAAGUCGGAUUAGCUAGUUGGUGGGGUAAAGGCCUACCAAGGCGACGAUCUGUAGCGGGUCUGAGAGGAUGAUCCGCCACACUGGGACUGAGACACGGCCCAGACUCCUACGGGAGGCAGCAGUGGGGAAUAUUGGACAAUGGGGGGUACCCUGAUCCAGCCAUGCCGCGUGUGUGAAGAAGGCCUUUUGGUUGUAAAGCACUUUAAGUGGGGAGGAGGCUUACCUGGUUAAUACCUGGGCUAAGUGGACGUUACCCACAGAAUAAGCACCGGCUAACUCUGUGCCAGCAGCCGCGGUAAUACAGAGGGUGCGAGCGUUAAUCGGAUUUACUGGGCGUAAAGCGCGCGUAGGUGGUUAAUUAAGUCAAAUGUGAAAUCCCCGAGCUUAACUUGGGAAUUGCAUUCGAUACUGGUUAGCUAGAGUAUGGGAGAGGAUGGUAGAAUUCCAGGUGUAGCGGUGAAAUGCGUAGAGAUCUGGAGGAAUACCGAUGGCGAAAGCAGCCAUCUGGCCUAAUACUGACACUGAGGUGCGAAAGCCUGC
rnacentral:rRNA from 1 species